AACGAACGCUGGCGGCAGGCCUAACACACGCAAGUCGAACGCUGUAGCAAUACAGAGUGGCCGACGGGUGAGUAACGCGUGGGAACCUUCCCAAUGGAGCGGAAGAGCCCAGGGAAACUUGGGGUAAUACCGCAUAAGCCCUUAGGGGGAAAGAUUUAUCGCCAUCGGAUGGGACCGCGUCGGAUUAGCUAGUUGGUGAGGUAAUGGCUCACCAAGGCAACGAUCCGUAGCUGGUUUGAGAGAAUGACCAGCCACACUGGGACUGAGACACGGCCCAGACUCCUACGGGAGGCAGCAGUGGGGAAUCUUGGACAAUGGGCGCAAGCCUGAUCCAGCCAUGCCGCGUGAGGGACGAAGGCCUUAGGGUUGUAAAGCUCUUUUGCCGGGGACGAUAAUGACGGUACCCGGAGAAUAAGUCCCGGCUAACUUCGUGCCAGCCGCCGCCGUAA
rnacentral:rRNA from 1 species